rnacentral:misc_RNA from 1 species
UCUCGGCUUACGCCGGCAGUCCCGCCAGAGUCCCCGGCUUCACCCGCUGGCAACUGGCGGUAGGGGUUGCGCUCGUUAUGGGACUUAACCCGACACCUCACGGCACGAGCUGACGACAACCAUGCAGCACCUCGCUCCCGGCCGUUGCCGGCUCACGCCUUUCGGCGUGAUUCCAGAAGCGUUCGAGCCCAGGUAAGGUUCCUCGCGUAUCAUCGAAUUAAACCACAUGUUCCUCCGCUUGUGCGGGCCCCCGUCAAUUCCUUUGAGUUUCAGCCUUGCGGCCGUACUCCCCAGGUGGAUGGCUUAAUGGUUUCCCUCAGGCACGCGCCCUCGCGGGCGCACACCCAGCCAUCAUCGUUUACGGCGUGGACUAC